rnacentral:lncRNA from 1 species
UGGGAGAAGAGUUUAAAGGACAUGGGACAUCUCACUUCUCAGGAAGUAGGAAAGUGGUGAAAUAUUAGGAAAUGGGGAAAGAGGUGAAAGAUUAGGGUUUUACAUAAUUUUAAAGAAGAUGGAGCGGAUGUGGAGGUGAAGAAGAGUGAAGGAAGAAAAUGGAAUGGAGACAGAGAUGGAGGAAAUUUGGGUGAAGGUGGAGGUGGAACAAGAAGAUGAGACGAAGGUGGAGGAAGGUACGGAGAAGAGGAGGGAAAAAACUUAGGGUAAAUUUGACUUUUCCUUUUGCUUAUUGGGGUAUAGGAAGAAAACAUGACGUGUAGAGAAAGAAAUUCCCAAGUUGAGAAUAUAAUAACUUAGAUUCUUGCUCACUUCAAAAUCUAGACCCUUGAUUUGUUAAAACAAUAGUAGUGGUUAAUCCGUCGGUAUGAUUUUUACUUUUUCUACAUAAGUAAAAAUAUAGUACAAAAUAAACUAAUAUUAGAUACAAUAUUUGAUUAAUAAGAUUAACUUGUUAUUAAUAAGAAGAGAAAAUAAAAGGGAAUGGAUAAUUAUUUUUUAAUCAUUAAAAUGAGUUGGAGAUUUUUUUUUCAAGAAAAUUUGAUGAGAUACUAUAGGAAGAUGUUAGAUAAAGUUAAUUAAGUUAAGAUUAUCAUUUCU